CAGCCGCCACGGGAAUACAGAGGGUGCGAGCGUUAAUCGGAUUUACUGGGCGUAAAGCGUGCGUAGGCGGCUUCUUAAGUCGGAUGUGAAAUCCCUGAGCUUAACUUAGGAAUUGCAUUCGAUACUGGGAAGCUAGAGUAUGGGAGAGGAUGGUAGAAUUCCAGGUGUAGCGGUGAAAUGCGUAGAGAUCUGGAGGAAUACCGAUGGCGAAGGCUGCCAUCUGGCCUAAUACUGACGCUGAGGUACGAAAGCAUGGGGAGCAAACAGGAUUAGAUACCCCUGUAGUCCCUGUCUCUUAUAU
rnacentral:rRNA from 1 species